GAUGAACGCUGGCGGCGUGCCUAAUACAUGCAAGUCGAGCGAACGGACGAGAAGCUUGCUUCUCUGAUGUUAGCGGCGGACGGGUGAGUAACACGUGGAUAACCUACCUAUAAGACUGGGAUAACUUCGGGAAACCGGAGCUAAUACCGGAUGAUAUUUUGAACCGCAUGGUUCAAAAGUGAAAGACGGUCUUGCUGUCACUUAUAGAUGGAUCCGCGCUGCAUUAGCUAGUUGGUAAGGUAACGGCUUACCAAGGCAACGAUGCAUAGCCGACCUGAGAGGGUGAUCGGCCACACUGGAACUGAGACACGGUCCAGACUCCUACGGGAGGCAGCAGUAGGGAAUCUUCCGCAAAGGGCGAAAGCCUGACGGAGCAACGCCGCGUGAGUGAUGAGGGUCUUCGGAUCGUAAAACUCUGUUAUUAGGGAAGAACAUAUGUGUAAGUAACUGUGCACAUCUUGACGGUACCUAAUCAGAAAGCCACGGCUAACUACGUG
rnacentral:rRNA from 1 species